rnacentral:rRNA from 1 species
UACGUAGGGUGCGAGCGUUGUCCGGAAUUAUUGGGCGUAAAGGGCUCGUAGGCGGUCUGUUGCGUCGGGAGUGAAAACUCAGGGCUUAACCCUGAGCCUGCUUCCGAUACGGGCAGACUAGAGGUAUGCAGGGGAGAACGGAAUUCCUGGUGUAGCGGUGAAAUGCGUAGAUAUCAGGAGGAAUACCGAUGGCGAAGGCAGGUCUCUGGGCUGACACUGACGCUCAUGCACGAAAGCGUGGGGAGCAAACAGG